rnacentral:sRNA from 1 species
AGUCCCAUGGGAUAUUUGUUGUCCCAUGGGACAAAAAAAAUCCCAUGGGACAAAAAAAAUCCCAUGGGAUU